UACGGGGGGGGCAAGCGUUGUUCGGAAUUACUGGGCGUAAAGGGCUCGUAGGCGGCCAACUAAGUCAUACGUGAAAUCCCUCGGCUUAACCGGGGAACUGCGUCUGAUACUGGAUGGCUUGAGUUCGGGAGAGGGAAGCGGAAUUCCCGGUGUAGCGGUGAAAUGCGCAGAUAUCGGGAACGAACACCCAGUGGGCGAAGG
rnacentral:rRNA from 1 species